AGAGCAGUAAGCGCUGGAAGUCGGAUCUCCCACCCUUUGAUGUAGUUUCUUCUGCUUGCAAUUGCCCGCCUCAGCCUUUUGACUCUAGGGCAAUGGUUUUUCCUUACAAGCAACCUCCCAUGUCCAGCUCCCUUGCCCUUGCCUCCUCCUGCCCUGAGAAUUCCUCCAGGGCUCCGUCCCCCUCCAGGCUUCAUGAAGGGAGAGAGGAACUCAACACCCUCCUGUUCUCCUUUGUCUGGACUCUCCAGGGUCUGGUGCGUGGCCUGUCGCCCAUGCUUGUCUGUUUUAGUACACUUUGUAUUACAAAGCACCAACGGCUGAGACUAACCAUGCCACGGUUUGUUUAGUUCUUGAGGUUCAAGAACAUGGUACCAGCAUCUGCUUGGCUCGGGCCUUACAGCAGAUGGUCCCUCAGCAAUAGGAAUGGGUAGGAACCAUGGGGCACAAGGAGGAGGCCAGCCACACCUGUGGAAUUGUUCUCAGGGCCUGUGAUGUAGCUAGCAUGAAUAUGGCCCUGGGUUCCAGCCCUGUUGACUCACUCCAAAGUAAGAAGGACCCAGGGAACCAGGGAAGGGGCCAACCUUGCUAACUUUUGUUGGGGCAUGGGUGCCACAUGCCUGUGUCCAGCACCAGGAAGCUGUAGCAGGAAGAAUCCAAGUUCAAGUUCAGCUUUGGCUAUGUAGCAAGACCUUGUCUCAAACCAAUGGCUGUAGAUGUGCUAAGUGAUAGAACACUGGUCUAGCCUGCACAAGGCUCUGGGUUCCAUCUCAGCACAAGGGACACUGCGUGGUGUGGGGUGUACAACUCUUUUCUCAGGGGAACUGAUCUAGUCCCACUGAAGCAUUUAUCCCCACACCAGAUGUCAUCAGCUCCCUGCAGCCAGACUUAGGUUCUAGCAGGCUCUACCUAGUAAAGGUCCUGCUGCCUCAUUGCUGUCAGACUAGAAAAGGGAAUGAAGAUUUCAGCCCAUGAUCCUCUGGGGCAAACCAAGGCAUAUAUUAAAUAAGUGUAAGAAGAAAAGCACUUGUGUAUGUGUGCCUGUGUGUGUGCAAGUGUGUGUAUAAAUGAUUGCAAGUGUGUGCCUGUGCCUCUGUGCGCAUCGAUCUAUCGCUGUGAAUCUCCACCUGAAGAUAAUGUAAGCUGUAGGAAGAAAUAUAAAGACGAUCAUUCCUGGGCUGCCAAAAUGGCUGGCCAGGGAAAACUCUUGCCGCCAAGACUGAAGAACUGCGUUUGAUCUCCAGAAACCACACAACAGAAGGAGAGUGCCAACUCUACAAGGCUGUCCUCUGAGCUCUGUGUGUGCCAUACUCAUGCCCACAUGCACACGUGCACAUUUGCAUACAUGCCCAUGUGUACACAUGCAUACAUGCACACAUGCAUACAGGUUGCACGCACACUAUCCUGACACCAGCUGUUUUGAAGUAAACCGUUUCUCCACCGCUGCCAGGAUGGCUAUUAUGCCACCGGCUGCUUACAUUUUUAAUAGAUGAAGAUGGAGUCUCACUGUCCAGCCCCACCCCCACCCCAGCUUUGUCAAUUUCCACUCCAAGUUAAGAGAGAAGAAAGAUGAUCUCAAAAUGA